CAGUAGCCACGGGAAUACAGAGGGUGCAAGCGUUAAUCGGAAUUACUGGGCGUAAAGCGCGCGUAGGUGGUUUGUUAAGUUGGAUGUGAAAGCCCCGGGCUCAACCUGGGACUGCAUCCAAAACUGGCAAGCUAGAGUACGGUAGAGGGUGGUGGAAUUUCCUGUGUAGCGGUGAAAUGCGUAGAUAUAGGAAGGAACACCAGUGGCGAAGGCGACCACCUGGACUGAUACUGACACUGAGGUGCGAAAGCGUGGGGAGCAAACAGGAUUAGAGACCCCUGUAGUCCCUGUCUCUUAUACA
rnacentral:rRNA from 1 species